rnacentral:misc_RNA from 1 species
GUGUCACUUCGGCUCAACAGAGAAAUUGCAAUUAUCGGCUUGCUUCUUUGACCCUAACGAAACCGAACGUGCGACCAAACAUGGAAUAGGGUAUUUGCGUACUUCCAUUCCUGAGUCUCCCUCUCUUCCAUCUUCUAUAACUGUAAGAUUGUCUCAGUUAACUGAGAUUACUGGAUUUCAAUGGCGCUAGUUACUCCCGGCGGGUGCGCGCGAUUAAGCGUGGGACCGACUGUGCACGUGAGACGCAGAAUGGCUACCUUUGCUAAGCUAUCCCCUCCAAGAGAUGAAACGGUCGACUGGUUCAAGGCAACCGAGAGCUUCUUUGACAGAGACUCCAGACCCAUCAUGUUGUUCGAUGGUGUGUGCAACCUUUGCAAUGGAGGAGUGAGGUUUGUGCGUGACAAUGAUCGGAAUAGGUCAGUGUUAAAAUUGCUUUUCUUCUUUCAAGAUUUAAUCUUUGUUUACCGUUUCUAAUGAAUUUUAAUUUUUCUUUGGCAAUUCUUACCCCAAUUCAGGGCUUUUCUGGGGAAACUAUUUGCCUAAAUGAUUUAUUGGUAGAAGAUGUAAAUGGGAUUUUGAUUUGCUAGUCUGAUAUUAUAAAUGAGGAUUUAGAUGAUUAUGAUGCCUUUUGGGUUUAAUUUUUCCCUCUUCUUCUCAGAGGCUCUUCGUUUCUUGUUUUUGUUGGCCAUGGACAGGAGAAUCAGGUAUGAAGCUCUCCAGAGUGACGCAGGUAGCAAGCUGCUAAGGAGGUCUGGAAGAGCACCUGAUGAUAUUUCAAGUGUUGUACUUGUUGAAAAGGACAGGUAUGCAGUAUGCACAUACAACUUCUAAUUGUUUUCUUGAGAAAAAUCUGAAUAAGGGUUAAACAUUGGGGCAUUGCUGGGUAUAGUAUUAAAUGUCUGAACUCACAACAAGAAAUGUGCAACUCCCAUAUCUUGAGAGGUAUUCAUAUUUUCCCUUUGGGAAUAGGUUCCCUCUUUGGUAGGAAUAGGAUUAUAGUUGGUUAAUGUUCUUUUUGUUAAGCAUAAGGAUUGAGUUUUGUUACAAUGCCUCUGAGUUUCCUCAGUGGCUCAUUCUUCUGUGGAGAAGAUGGAUAUAAAUAGGAGAAAUGCAACUGAUAGCAGAAAUUCAGACUCAAAAUCACAUUUGAUUUGAAUUCUUGUAGACAAAUUACAUUUUUCCAACCAAAUGAUAGCGGCAGAUUUAUUGAGGAAGAAAUUAUAGUGUUCCAAUAAUUUAGGGCAUAUAAAAAAGGGAUUGAAUGAGGAAAACAUAAGAUUUUGUGAUAAUCUCAGAUCAUAUAUAAAGUCAGAAGCUGUGUUGAAGAUAAUGGAAUACAUUGACUUGCCAUUUCCCCGGCUAGCAUUUUUCCUCCACUUUGUGCCUCUGUAAGUCAUCCCUUCCUGCUCCUUGUCACAAAUUUGUCAAAUCACAUUGGUUAGGCAAACAUUCAAAGUAACAAUAGGAGAUCAAUUAAUUUGAAAUUCUCUUUUCAAUGGUUACAGGUUCGUGAGGGAUUUUGUUUAUGACAAUGUUGCAAACAACCGUUACACAAUUUUUGGUCGCUCAGAAUCAUGUGAGGUAUAUUAUGAUUGAAAGUUUGAACUCACUCAUUGCACUUAUAUUUGUAUGUAUGUUGUGUAGCACACAUAUGAAAGAUCUUGUGUUUGUUUGUUCGUUGCUCUGUUCAAAAGGACUAGAAUUGUGAGAAUAUGCACAAUUUCAGAUGUAACGAUGUAAUCAUUAUCUGUAUAUAUUUCCAUAGUUCUGUUUAUUGCUGCUAGACAGUUAGAACUUGAGAUAAUUUUCCUGUCGUUUAAUAACCUGGUGGUUGAGAAUAAUUUAAUUAUCAAUUUAUUCUAUUUUCUUAUAUACUCUAAUGAUUUUAUUAUAUUUCACAUCUGCCUCCGCCGACGAUAGCUUGGAGACUAUUUUGGUCAUUACAGCCCAACCGCUUCACUAUUCAUUUCGGCAGCGUAGUGUAGCAUCGCAAAACUCAGGUUUAAUGUGUGUUAUAAUCAUACAUCACCG